AAAAAAAAAAAGAAAAGUUCGUUUUUUAUACGAUGUUUGUCAUCGAGUGCUUUUUCAGGUCCUUUGCACAGUCAUGGCAGGGGAUAAACUCGUCGCAGUCAGCUAUACCAGACACUUCUAGCCCUUUCGGCCUGCAAGAGGAAUCGGCAACGAAUAGCUAUGCUAGGAAAACGAGAGAACAAGUUGGAAGAAAAUAGGAAUCUAAAAGAUCUAGUACAGAUAUUCGUGCGCCGGUUCGAUGUACGGCGGCGUCAGAGGCCACAGCGAUAAUGGGGGGUGCGUCCAGUAUUAGCCGAUAAUUCUCGACCUUCAUCAAGAUAGUGUCGUCUGUAUUCCCCCGUCGUAUCCCCCUGCUGCUAUCCCCACAUCCUCUAGAUUCCCUUUCGACGACUUCUCCUCUUCAAGCGUCUGGAUAUUGGAGCACUCUGCCAGGGUGGCCGUGGGCUGCGUCCGAAGAGAUCGACCUCUUCGACCGAAGCAGGAUAGAUGUUGUACUGAUUGUUAAUUGAACAAACAGGAUCCUGUGCAGAAAUGGGGAUAAACUCAGAGCCGAUGACGUCUGGCUUGGCCUGCUUGGACGCAACGAUCGAACCGACAUCAGGAUAAUCAUGGUGGUGGUCUUCAAGAGUUGCUGCCGGGAGAAACCUUGUUCGUCAGUGACUUCCACGAUCGACGGCCUGAGAGAGCAGCCGUAGGCUAGGUUGUAGCAACGCUGGCCUGUAGCAGUAACGAUAGACGAAGAUCUUAAGUCACCGGAACAGGUGGGUCAGGAAUCUUUUUGUGCCAGAGCGACAAGGAAGUACGGUCAUACUGCGCGGUCAAGAGCGAACGAAAGGCAAGGGCGGACGGAGCAAAAAAGAGUGACGGACGAGUUCUGCUAAUCGCUCCAACGUAUCGCGAUGUAAAUGCAUGGACUUAUUGGCUAGCUGUAGCGGUACUUUGGAGGAGGGGGCAGUAAGUACAACAAAACACGGAUCAAAGACAAAAA